rnacentral:rRNA from 1 species
CCUACGGGGAGCAGCAGUGAGGAAUAUUGGUCAAUGGUCGGGAGACUGAACCAGCCAAGCCGCGUGAGGGAUGAAGGUACAGAGUAUCGUAAACCUCUUUUGUCAGGGAACAAAGGCGGGGACGUGUCCCCGGCUGAGUGUACCUUACGAAAAAGCAUCGGCUAACUCCGUGCCAGCAGCCGCGGUAAUACGGAGGAUGCGAGCGUUAUCCGGAUUUAUUGGGUUAAAAGGGUGCGCAGGCGGUCUGUUCAGUCAGCGGUCAAAGCCCGGGGCUCAACCCCGGCCCGCCGUUGAAACUGGCAGUCUCGAGUGGGAGAGAAGUAUGCGGAAUGCGCGGUGUAGCGGUGAAAUGCAUAGAUAUCGCGCAGAACUCCGAUUGCGAAGGCAGCAUGCCGGCUCCACACUGACGCUGAGGCACGAAAGCGUGGGUAUCGAACAGGAUUAGAUACCCGUGUAGUC